rnacentral:rRNA from 1 species
CAGCAGCCACGGUAAUACGUAGGUGGCAAGCGUUGUCCGGAGUUAUUGGGCGUAAAGGGCUCGCAGGCGGUCUCUUAAGUCUGAUGUGAAAGCCCCCGGCUCAACCGGGGAGGGUCAUUGGAAACUGGGAAACUUGAGUGCAGAAGAGGAGAGUGGAAUUCCACGUGUAGCGGUGAAAUGCGUAGAGAUGUGGAGGAACACCAGUGGCGAAGGCGACUCUCUGGUCUGUAACUGACGCUGAGGAGCGAAAGCGUGGGGAGCGAGCAGGAUUAGAUACCCGUGUAGUCCCUGUCUCUUAUAA